ACGGCUGGUAUGAAUUUGUUAAUUGCACUAGUGAAUUCAUAUAUUAUAAGUGACUAGUUAAUUCACGACACCGCCGUAAUGCAGAGAAGCAGUGGUACAGGAGAGAGAUUGUGAGAGAAGAGAGCAUGAUCUACAGCACGCAAUUUUUUCAAUAUGUACUCUCAGUAGAAUAUCAGCGAAAAAUAAGGGUGGAAUGCAAAUUUGAGAAAACCUAGUCGUUACAGUAAGCACAGUUUGAUAAAAACGCUUGCAUUAUUACCGCAUUUACAUACAUGUCGAUCAUGAAAAGCAUGAUUCACUGUAAAAAAACUUCUAAAUUUCGCGACAAAUGUUUACCGUUACAUAUGGAGACAGCGUUUUAUUUGUAAUUUUCAAGUAGUACUUUUUCGGCAUUAUAGUUUCAUGCAACAUCGCGUCGUGUUUGGUAAUUAAAUUUUUGAUUAAUAAUAUUUUAAACCGUUUAAAUAAAAAGUGAAUAAAGGUGAGAAAAUGUAUAAAGGCAUUUGAAGCGCCUUCAAUACGCGGAAAGGAAAAAAUAUUUAAAAAUAUUGAAAAUCGCGGAAAAAACGGACGAAACUGUGAAGAUUAAAGAAAAUAAAAAAUGUGAAAAGGAUAAGCAAGUGGUAGAAAUAGAAGAAAGUGUUUUAAACAGUGAGAUAGAUUUAGAGGCCAGAGAAUUCCAGAAAAAUAUAGCUUAAAUACAUAGCUCAAGCUAAAGACAGAAAGGAAUGCAAUUGUCAGAUGUUCUAAAACGCAUGGAAGAGUAUAUAAUUAUAAUAACUAUAAUUAUUCUUUAUUAUUUUUUUAGAAACAAUGCUACAGGAUAACAAGCUUUUAAAAGAUCAACUCCGAAUUUGCAUGGAAGCAGUAGUCGAUAUGAAAGUGGUUGUAAAUAAGUGGAAUCGCCACAUUGCUGAGGAAACUGUUUUAACAGCAAAAUUUCCAAUGUCAAGUGUGGAGGAGGUAGAAUGUCUAAAUGCAGAAAUAAAUAACGACAAUCGCGAAUGUUAUAUAAAGACUAUGAAAUCUCUUUUUAGACCGGCAGGGGUGGUUUAAAAUCUUAAAGAGAUAUUGAUGGACGCUGUUGUCCAAGAAUAUAAUAUUGACGGAAUUCAUGGAAAAAAAUCUUUAAGAGGUCUGGAGAGUUUUUACUUCCUAAUUAGAAUCAAUUCCAGUUAGCGAUGACUUCGAGCCGGCCGAAAAAAAAUUGCGCAAAGCAAUUCAGCUACAAAAAAUAGAAUAAACAUAGUGUAAAUAAAAAUAAAUCCGAACAUGAUAUGAAUAUUGACAUAUAAAAAUUGUAUCCUGUAUUAUUAAAUGAUGAAUGGUAUGAACUAAGUAUGUAAUGAGAUAACUAGUGAAAUAUAUAAGGUGGUAGGUAGUGAGGUAACUAGUGUAAUAUAGAAAGUUAUAAGUGGUGAAGUAGCUAGUGAAAUAUUGAAGAUGGUAUGUAGGGAGGUAGCCAGUGAAAUAUAGUUAGUGAGCUACAAAAAAUAGAAUAAACAUAGUGAAAAUAAAAAUAAAUCCGAACAUGAUAUGAAUAUUGACAUAUAAAAAUUGUAUCCUGUAUUAUUAAAUGAUGAAUGGUAUGAACUAAGUAUGUAAUGAGAUAACUAGUGAAAUAUAUAAGGUGGUAGGUAGUGAGGUAACUAGUGUAAUAUAGAAAGUUAUAAGUGGUGAAGUAGCUAGUGAAAUAUUGAAGAUGGUAUGUAGGGAGGUAGCCAGUGAAAUAUAGUUAGUGAGCUACAAAAAAUAGAAUAAACAUAGUGUAAAUAAAUAUAAAAAUAAAUCCGAACAUGAUAUGAAUAUUGACAUAUAAAAAUUGUACCCUGUAUUAUUAAAUGAUGAAUGGUAUGAACUAAGUAUGUAAUGAGAUAACUAGUGAAAUAUAUAAGGUGGUAGGUAGUGAGGUAACUAGUGUAAUAUAGAAAGUUAUAAGUGGUGAAGUAGCUAGUGAAAUAUAGAAGAUGGUAUGUAGUGAGGUAGCCAGUGAAAUAUAGUUAGUGAUAUGUGAUGAAGUAUCUAGUGAAGUAUAGGUGGUGAAUCACUAGUGAAUAGUGUAAACCGGUUACCGCCAAUGACAUCGCCGUGUUAAAUUCAUGAGUGAAUUGCAUUGCGGGUAUUAUGGUGGGUAACCAGUGGUGGUUACCAGUAAGUAGUGAACUCACUAGUCUUUCACUAAUGAGCCGAA